UGCCUAUCAGAGGGGAACAACAGUUAGAAAUGACUGCUAAUACCGCAUAUGCCUUAGAAUCACAUGGUUCAAAAGGGAAAGGAGCAAUCCGCUGAUAGAUGGGCUUGCGUCUGAUUAGCUAGUUGGUGGGGUAACGGCCUACCAAGGCGACGAUCAGUAGCCGAACUGAGAGGCUGAACGGCCACAUUGGGACUGAGAUACGGCCCAGACUCCUACGGGAGGCAGCAGUCGGGAAUAUUGCGCAAUGGAGGAAACUCUGACGCAGUGACGCCGCGUGCAGGAAGAAGGUUUUCGGAUUGUAAACUGCUUUAGACAGGGAAGAACAAAGACAGUACCUGUAGAAUAAGCUCCGGCUAACUACGUGCCAGCAGCCGCGGUAAUACGUAGGGAGCGAGCGUUAUCCGGAUUUAUUGGGUGUAAAGGGUGCGUAGACGGGAAGUCAAGUUAGUUGUGAAAUCCCUCGGCUUAACUGAGGAACUGCAACUAAAACUGAUUUUCUUGAGUACUGGAGAGGAAAGUGGAAUUCCUAGUGUAGCGGUGAAAUGCGUAGAUAUUAGGAGGAACACCAGUGGCGAAGGCGACUUUCUGGACAGAAACUGACGUUGAGGCACGAAAGUGUGGGGAGCAAACAGGAUUAGAUACCCUGGUAGUCCACACCGUAAACGAUGGAUACUAGGUGUAGGGGAUAUUAAAAUUCUCUGUGCCGCCG
rnacentral:rRNA from 1 species